UAUUGGCCCGUUUUUUGGCAGUUUGCAGAUGAUCCGUAUCUGCGUUUUAUUAACCUGAUAACCGAUAAAGUUAAUGAAUUAAAAAGUGCUCUACUUU